AUACGGAGGAUGCGAGCGUUAUCCGGAUUUAUUGGGUUUAAAGGGAGCGUAGGUGGGAUAUUAAGUCAGCUGUGAAAGUUUGGGGCUCAACCUUAAAAUUGCAGUUGAUACUGGUUUCCUUGAGUACGGUACAGGUGGGCGGAAUUCGUGGUGUAGCGGUGAAAUGCUUAGAUAUCACGAAGAACUCCGAUCGCGAAGGCAGCUCACCGGGACGGGACUUACACUGAUGCUCGAAAGUGCGGGUAUCAAACAGGAUUAGAUACCCUGGUAGUCCGCACAGUAAACGAUGAAUACUCGCUGUUUGCGAUAUACAGUAAGCGGCCAAGCGAAAGCAUUAAGUAUUCCACCUGGGGAGUACGCCGGCAACGGUGAAACUUAAAGGAAUUGACGGGG
rnacentral:rRNA from 1 species